rnacentral:rRNA from 1 species
GGCCCUCCGCAGAUAUAUUUAUCUCAUUCACGGGAGGUCACACCUGCACAAUGACCUACGGGUUCAAUUGCCGCGGUAACCUGACCGUGCAAAGGUAGCGUAAUCAAUAGCCUAUUAAUUGUUGGCCUGUAUGAAUGGUACGACGCUGGUGGCGCUGUCUCAGCUGCAUUAAUUUGAAUUUAACUUCUGGGUGAAAAGGCCCAGAUGGAUCUGAAAGACGAUUAGACCCUGUCGAACUUUAGGUAGAUUGGCUGCCAAAAUAUCAGAAAUGGUAGUUUUGUUCUACCAUAAAACCUUUGGUUGGGGUAACCGGGGACUAAGAAAAACGCCCCCCCUCAUUGAAAGUUAACACCCGUUUUGGUAGGGGUAAUAAUGACUUUACCCCUAGGGCAAUUGGCCUUCAGGAAAGUAAUUACACUUAGUUUGAAAAAAGUCUGACAAGACAUGGUUUGCUUAUAAAAUGAACCUAAAGAACCGAAUAUCGGUAAGCUGUUAAAGGGGAAGAGUUACCGCAGGGAUAACAGCGUAAUCUUCCCGGCGAGACCACAUUAAGGGGAGGGUUUGCGACCUCGAUGUUGGCUUAGGGCUUCCUAGAAGUGCAGGGGCUUCUAAGGGUUGGUCUGUUCCACCAUUAAAGCCUUACGU